UCCCUGCCUUCGGAAGGGGCCAGAGGACUCAGGUCCCGGCGCUGGCCGUGUGAGGGACGCCACGCCUCCGAGCCAGCUCCAGAUGUGGGCCCGGGUGCGAUGGCUGCUGCUGGGGGGAGGGAUGCCUGUCAGGCGGCGGUGCCUCUCGCUCCCAGAAGCAGGGUCCUGUCUCUCCACGCGGUUCCUUUCCUGGUGUCCUGAUGCAUCCUGCAAACUCCAAGGCAAGGCCUCCUGCCUGGAGCGCUCCCCCUGCCCUCAGGAAUCUGCUUUACGAUCUGGCGAGGCCAUAAACCUCCGCUCUUCACUGCUGAAAAACAGCGGAGUCUGGGAAAGAAUGUAAAUCAUAAAUACCAAAUUCCUAAGGUCAGCAAUACUGUAAUGGCCCGGUCGUUGGCUUUUAAAUAUGGUGUGCAUAUGGCUUUCAUUUCUAAGGGGCUGGCUUCUCCCACCACCGUAGUUCCAGGGAGAGCAGAUAACGGGGGUGAAACGUCCCACGGAGAUGCCGUUUUUUCCCAAACGAAAAUUAGCAUUUUUCUGAUGACUCGCUGCCAAAUAGUUUGAAGUGCCACUCUUCGCCGGGAGGGAUGGGACAGCAGGUGACGGUGACGUCUGCGUCCUCCCCAGCCUGCCCACGUGGUCUGGCUCCCCUGCAAGCCGGGCCCUGGUGAUCUCCCUCUGCUAGACCCUCCCUAAAGCCUUAACUUCCCAGGAGGAGGCUUUCCUGUCUAUUUUUGAAAUCCCCUUCCUGUCCCUUUUCCCAGGCAAGGUUCUGCUCACUAACGGGGACUUGUUGCUGCUGCCGCAAGCAGGACAGCCAGAGUCUCCGGAGACCAAGCAGCCGCAUGGGUUUGAGCCUGUAUUCCAGGGGUGGGCCAGCCCGGCUUAGAUUUCACAAGCUGGGCAGAAGCGGCCGCUGGUCGCCGCGUGAAUUCCGGCCGCCUUCUCCCACCAUGGAAUCCAAUGCCCGGGAUCCCUGUGCUGCUGCUCAGCAUUUCCCCCUUUCGGCCCAGCCUCGCCCAGUUCCCGAUGAUGGGUGCAAGCUGAAAAAACACCCCGCGUCUCAGACUUCCCCAGCUGCUGUUCGAACGGACCAAGCAUCUAUUAAAGUCGAGGUGUUUUCCUUUGUGUGGUUAGCAAGUAUGCUGACCGUGGAGCAGUGUGUGCGAAUAUGAUGCUUGCAAUCACACACGUGUCCACCCACAGACAUAUCUACGCUCCCAAGCACCUAGUCACUCCUGCACUCGCCCUCAUGUCUUCCUGAUGUUUUCUUUGGAAGCCAGGCCACCCAGAGGGCGUGGAGGAGAGGCUCGGAGACGUCGAGGGGAGGUGGAACGUCAGCUGCAGGUCCAUUCUUCAGUGUGGAGUCUCUGCCAAGAGGUUCUGUGUAUGCGCAUCUGAAUACUGUCAACAGCAAAGAUAAGCCAGAAGGGAUGGCCACGGGACAGAUGGGGAAAUGAGAAGUUUGACAAGUUAAAGACUCAGGAAAGCUUGUGCUGACUAAAGAAAAGAUCUUCAGUUGGGUUCCCUGGUGUAUGCCUAUUGUCACAUCAAGGCCACUGCCGGCACCACUGGCUGGUAAAAUCCAUCUCUGUAAGGCAUUUGGAGGUGGUCUUCAACUUUUCAGUUGGAAGAGGCCGCACCUAAUUUUGAUCUCUCUCUGAUAAUUUGUGGCAAAAUCUGCCGGGAGGAUGAUGCGUCCUUCUGUGAUUCCAGCGUGUGCGUUGAGGAGAACAAAGCUCCUUAGGAAAGAGGCGCCCUGCAACUGUAGGGCCCCCUCCCUGGGGCCCUUCCACCCGGACCAUGCCCAAGCCAGCUCAGAAACGGUGUCAUGGGCCUGUGAGGGCGGGAAGAAGCAGAAGACGCUGCCCCUGCCUCUGAAAGGUUCACCGUUUCACGAGGGGAAAAGCUUCCCACCUGAGAAGCGCAUCAGCUGUGUGCUCGAUGGCUGUUCCGGAACCUCCAAAAAGGGAAGGAUGGUCAGGGAUGGACAGAGCAGGGAAAGUUCCCAGAGCCAGUGGGCCCUGGGGACGGAACCGCAGUGUGAGUACUGAUACAGCCGUACCCAGACAAAGACACAAGGUACCCUGGGCUGGCUCAAUCAGACAUGUCUGCGUGGAAAGUGGUCAGUGCUGGACUGAUGGGCUAGCCUUAGGCUGAGGUACUGAAGGCCAUGGAUGGGCCCACCCUGUGGUCCUCACAACACAAUAUUGCUGCUUCUCAGUGGGGUCUCGGCUGUCUCUGAGGCAGAACAUGGAUGCUUUUGGUUGUCCCAGUGACUGGAGGACACCACGGGUCUUCAGCAGGCGUCCAGGGUACAUGGGAAUACAAGAUGUCCCGCAGCACACAGGAGAGUUCUGAACGAUGAACCAUGACUCUGGGUUCCUCGAUUUCUAACUAUCCCACUGGAUAUUCAUUUAAGUGAACAAUCUGUAAGUCUCUGAACCUAGAAUCUAACUCGUUUCCAUAUACACACACAUAGUUUUUCUCCAUUUAGUACUCAGUUUCACAAGAAUGUAACCAUAUAAACAAAAAUGUUGUACAACUUUUGUUUUGUUGGAACUUGA